rnacentral:rRNA from 1 species
GACGUAGGGCGCGAGCGUUGUCCGGAUUUAUUGGGCGUAAAGAGCUCGUAGGCGGCUUGUUGCGUCGACUGUGAAAACCCGCGGCUUAACUGCGGGCUUGCAGUUGAUACGGGCAGGCUAGAGUUCGGUAGGGGAGACUGGAAUUCCUGGUGUAGCGGUGAAAUGCGCAGAUAUCAGGAGGAACACCGGUGGCGAAGGCGGUUCUCUGGGCAUUACCUGACGCUGAGGAGCGAAAGUGUGGGGAGCGAACAGG